UACGUAGGGACCGAGCGUUGUCCGGAAUCAUUGGGCGUAAAGAGCGUGUAGGCGGCUUGUUAAGUCUUGCGUGAAAUCUCGGGGCUCAACCCCGAGCGGUCGUGAGAAACUGGCAGGCUAGAGUGCGGGAGAGGAGAGUGGAAUUCCUGGUGUAGCGGUGAAAUGCGUAGAGAUCGGGAGGAACAUCAGUGGCGAAGGCGGCCAUCUGGGACUACACUGACACUCAACUACGAAAGCGUGGGUAGCAAACAGG
rnacentral:rRNA from 1 species